UACCGGCUGCUCGAGUGAUAGCCGCUUUUACUGGGCUUAAAGCGUUCGUAGCUUGGACGUUAACUCUCUGGGGAAAUCUUUAGGCUUAACC
rnacentral:rRNA from 1 species